UUAACUAUUAUAUAUUACUCAGACAAUAUUAUUUAACAAGAGUUUUGAGUCCUCUGGUAGGCACUGACCAGCCAAAGCCGGCGGCCCGUAGACGGGCCUACCAAAGCAACAAAGGUAAUGUAAACAAAGGGUGGAGUGUUAAGGUAGAUUAGGGUUAACCCUACUCUACCUAGUUACUCUUUAAUGAUCCUUCCGCAGGUUCACCUACGGAAA
rnacentral:misc_RNA from 1 species